GAUUGAACGCUGGCGGCAUGCUUUACACAUGCAAGUCGAACGGCAGCACGGAAGAGCUUGCUCUUUUGGUGGCGAGUGGCGAACGGGUGAGUAAUGCAUCGGAACGUACCGAGUAGUGGGGGAUAACUGUCCGAAAGGAUGGCUAAUACCGCAUACGCUUUGCGAAGGAAAGCGGGGGCUCUUCGGACCUCGCGCUAUUCGAGCGGCCGAUGUCUGAUUAGCUAGUUGGUGGGGUAAAGGCCUACCAAGGCGACGAUCAGUAGCGGGUCUGAGAGGAUGAUCCGCCACACUGGGACUGAGACACGGCCCAGACUCCUACGGGAGGCAGCAGUGGGGAAUUUUGGACAAUGGGGGGAACCCUGAUCCAGCCAUGCCGCGUGUCUGAAGAAGGCCUUCGGGUUGUAAAGGACUUUUGUCAGGGAAGAAAAGCUUCGGGUUAAUACCCUGGAGUGAUGACGGUACCUGAAGAAUAAGCACCGGCUAACUAC
rnacentral:rRNA from 1 species